rnacentral:misc_RNA from 1 species
CUUUUAACUACACCACAAAUCGCCCGGGAACUACGAGCAAAACUUAAAACCCAAAGGACUUGACGGUACCCCAUAUCCACCUAGAGGAGCCUGUCCUACAACCGAUAACCCCCGAUUAACCUCACCAUUUUUAGUUAUUCAGCCUGUAUACCUCCGUCGUCAGCUUACCCCGUGAGCGAAAUAUAGUGAGCUUAAUGUCUUUACACCAAUACGUCAGGUCAAGGUGCAGCAAAUAAAAUGGGAAGAGAUGGGCUACACUUUCUAACAUAGAAAAUACGAAAGACUACAUAUGAAACCUAGUCAGAAGGCGGAUUUAGCAGUAAAAAGAUAACAGAGAGUUCUUUUUAAUCUGGCACUGGGGUGUGUACACACCGCCCGUCACCCUCUUCUCAGCUAAACUAUAGUUUUUAACAACUCUUACGCCACAUAGAAGAGGUAAGUCGUAACAUGGUAAGUAUACCGGAAGGUGUGCUUGGAAACGAAGUGUAACUUAAUGAAAGUAUCCCGCUUACACCGAGAAAUUAUUUGUGAAAAUCAAAUCACUUCGAGCUAAAAAUCUAGCCACACCCAAUCAAAUGACACUUAAAAAUUACGUUUAUUUAAUUAAAACAUUUUAACAGUUUAGUAAAGGCGAUUGAAAAAUUCUUAUGAGCUAUAUAUAAAGUACCGCAAGGGAAUAAUGAAAUAAAAAUGAAAUAGCUAUUAAGCACAAUAAAGUAAAGACUAACUCUUG